CUUGAGACAUGAUUCUGGGGAAACUCUACCACCAUCUGUGUGCCUUGCCUAGCAAUAUGUCACUAUCCAGGUAUGUUCCUGGCAGAAAAGUUGCAUAACUUGGGGGUUAAACCCAGGAAUAUGGCACAUUGCCCAUUGUGGGCAGUGUCCGGACAGAAGAAGAGACUCAUAUCACCUAAAUGACAAGCCCAGAAUAUGUCACAAUGUAUCCUGUUGAAAGGACGAGGCAGGGCCAAGUCAGAAGAGUCACAUAACCUGGAUACAGACACAAGUAAUAUGGCACCAUGUCCACUCUAACAGGAUUGAGGAAAGAGAGAAGAGUCACAACACAUAGGUAUUUGGCUCAGCAAUAUGUAGUAAACCUCUCUUUUGACAGAAUAAAGAGGAGAGUUUCAU